AUGCUCGCUUUGGCAGCACAUAUACUAAAAUUGGAAUGAUACAGAGAUUAGCAUGGCCCCUGUGCAAGGAUGACACGCAAAUUCAAAUUCGUGGAGCGUUCCAUUUAUUU